AUUGAACGCUGGCGGCAUGCCUUACACAUGCAAGUCGAACGGCAGCACGGGAGCAAUCCUGGUGGCGAGUGGCGAACGGGUGAGUAAUAUAUCGGAACGUGCCCAGUCGUGGGGAUAACGUAGCGAAAGCUACGCUAAUACCGCAUACGAUCUAUGGAUGAAAGCGGGGGAUCGCAAGACCUCGCGCGAUUGGAGCGGCCGAUAUCAGAUUAGGUAGUUGGUGAGGUAAAGGCUCACCAAGCCGACGAUCUGUAGCUGGUCUGAGAGGACGACCAGCCACACUGGGACUGAGACACGGCCCAGACUCCUACGGGAGGCAGCAGUGGGGAAUUUUGGACAAUGGGCGCAAGCCUGAUCCAGCCAUUCCGCGUGCAGGAUGAAGGCCCUCGGGUUGUAAACUGCUUUUGUACGGAACGAACGGUGAGCUCUAAUACAGUUUGCUAAUGACGGUACCGUAAGAAUAAGCACCGGCUAACUACGU
rnacentral:rRNA from 1 species